rnacentral:pre_miRNA from 1 species
GCUGUCUGAGGCCUUCUCUUCCCGGUUCUUCUCGGAGUUGGGAAAAGCUGGGUUGAGAGGGUGAAAAAUUUUUUAU